rnacentral:rRNA from 1 species
GAUGAACGCUGGCGGCGUGCUUAACACAUGCAAGUCGAACGGAAAGGCCAGUGCUUGCACUGGUACUCGAGUGGCGAACGGGUGAGUAACACGUGGGUGAUCUGCCCUGUACUUCGGGAUAAGCUUGGGAAACUGGGUCUAAUACCGGAUAGGACAACUUUUUGGAUAUUGUUGUGGAAAGCUUUUGCGUUAUGGGAUGAGCUCGCGGCCUAUCAGCUUGUUGGUGGGGUAAUGGCCUACCAAGGCGUCGACGGGUAGCCGGCCUGCGAGGGUGUACGGCCACAUUGGGACUGAGAUACGGCCCAGACUCCUACGGGAGGCAGCAAUGGGGAAUAUUGCACAAUGGGCGCAAGCCUGAUGCAGCGACGCCGCGUGGGGGAUGAAGGCCUUCGGGUUGUAAACUCCUUUCGCUAGGGACGAAGCUUUUUUGUGACGGUACCUGGAGAAGAAGCACCGGCUAACUACGUG